rnacentral:tRNA from 3 species
GGCUCCGUAGCUCAGUUGGUUAGAGCGCCGCCCUGUCACGGCGGAGGUCACCGGUUCAAGUCCGGCCGGAGUCGCGA